UACAGAGGGGGCAAGCGUUGUUCGGAAUUACUGGGCGUAAGGGCGCGUAGGCGGCCUGUUAAGUCGAACGUGAAAUCCCCGGGCUCAACCCGGGAACUGCGUCCGAUACUGGCAGGCUUGAAUCCGGGAGAGGGAUGCGGAAUUCCAGGUGUAGCGGUGAAAUGCGUAGAUAUCUGGAGGAACACCGGUGGCGAAGGCGGCUGACUGGACAUGUAUUGACGUGAGGUGCGAAAGCGUGGGGAGCAAACAGG
rnacentral:rRNA from 1 species